UACAGAGGGUGCGAGCGUUGUCCGGAAUCACUGGGCGUAAAGGGCGCGUAGGCGGUCUCUUAAGCGUGUGGUGAAAGCCCGGGGCUCAACUCCGGGUCGGCCGUGCGAACUGGGGGACUGGAGCUUGUCAGAGGCAGGCGGAAUUCCGGGUGUAGCGGUGGAAUGCGUAGAGAUCCGGAAGGACACCGGUGGCGAAGGCAGCUCGCUGGGACGGUACUGACGCUGAGGCGCGAAAGCGUGGGGAGCAAACAGG
rnacentral:rRNA from 1 species